rnacentral:snoRNA from 1 species
GGAGAAGCAAAGUGAUGAGCAUUACUGGCUGGAGCCCCAAAGAGGCACGCGUGUGGGUGCGCGUAUGUGUGUGUGUGUGUGAACCUGUGUCCUUGUCUGUGCGUGCACAUGUAUGUGUGGGAGUACAAGUGAGUGUGACUGGUUGUAGGGAGCUAGUUAUGUGCCUGCUUUUAGAUCAUGACAGUCAAACUGAUAAGAUCUGAUUGCUUC